rnacentral:rRNA from 1 species
CGGUCCGGCCGGGAACUCAAAGGAGACUGCCAGUGAUAAACUGGAGGAAGGUGGGGAUGACGUCAAGUCAUCAUGGCCCUUACGACCAGGGCUACACACGUGCUACAAUGGCGCAUACAAAGAGAAGCGACCUCGCGAGAGCAAGCGGACCUCAUAAAGUGCGUCGUAGUCCGGAUUGGAGUCUGCAACUCGACUCCAUGAAGUCGGAAUCGCUAGUAAUCGUGGAUCAGAAUGCCACGGUGAAUACGUUCCCGGGCCUUGUACACACCGCCCGUCACACCAUGGGAGUGGGUUGCAAAA